rnacentral:rRNA from 1 species
AUUGAACGCUGGCGGAAUGCUUUACACAUGCAAGUCGAGCGGCAGCGCGGGGCAACCUGGCGGCGAGCGGCGAACGGGUGAGUAAUGUAUCGGAACGUAUCCUGAAGUGGGGGAUAACGUAGCGAAAGUUACGCUAAUACCGCAUAUUCUGUGAGCAGGAAAGCAGGGGAUCUUCGGACCUUGCGCUUUUGGAGCGGCCGAUGUCGGAUUAGCUAGUUGGUGGGGUAAAGGCCCACCAAGGCGACGAUCCGUAGCGGGUCUGAGAGGAUGAUCCGCCACACUGGAACUGAGACACGGUCCAGACUCCUACGGGAGGCAGCAGUGGGGAAUUUUGGACGAUGGGCGCAAGCCUGAUCCCAGCCAUGCCGCGUGAGUGAAGAAGGCCUU